UCCUCCUUCGUGCUCAUCGCUGACAGCUAGCGUUACCUUGUCCCCAUGACAGGAGCAGUGGUAGUUGUGAGUCUUACCUUGGAGUACUCCUGUGCCAGCUUGCUGUAUUUGGUCUGCAGGUCUGUGACGUUCGCCAUGGUCCUGGGACACGGUAUCCCGUCCUAUGCUGGUUAGCCUCGGUUAGCUGAUGCUGGUCCCGUUAGCUCGUCCAAACCAAACCCCGACAGUCCUCUCACUGUGCUCCGAUGCCUGAGGUGUGGACGGUGCUGAGCUGGAGCUAAGUCUACCGAGCUACCUCAGUAUGACGAGCUACUUAUCGGAGGCUUGUUCCGUUACUCGGUGACACUGAUCUCGGACACAUUGUGACAGUGACUCGUUCCCGGAGUCUCCCGGGGAGAGAAGCCCUCGCUGGACAUGUGAUUCACGCCGGUUUCCUGAGCACGGCGAUGAAAGCACUGCCUUUUCAAGUUAGCGGUGACAGGCAGCUAGCUAACCGACUAGCCAAUAGCUAACUGGCUAUGUAGCAAAACAAAUCCAGCUAAGCUAGCCCCGUGUUUCCUGACAGCAGCCGUGAAACCGGCCGCCUCCGUUAAUCCUCAAAGAGAGGAAGUGUAGCUGCUGCUGAAGCUACUGAAACAGCUUCAAUAACCCAUUCAUGUGAAGGAGUGACUCCAUUCUCCAACCCGCAGAACACUCCUCCUGACAGAGGGAGCCGAGCUGACACCAGCACAGAGACCUAAUGCCAUUAAACAUGAUGUCAUCCAACUGAUAAAUUAUUUACUGCUGACUCUGAGUGUGUGAGGACAGAGAGGCUCUCAGCUGCUCCUCGCCGCCCCUCCUCAACACCAGCCAAGGAGCUUUGAG